rnacentral:piRNA from 1 species
AAAAUUAAAGAUGAAAUGUAAGUAGA